AUUGAACGCUGGCGGCAGGCCUAACACAUGCAAGUCGAGCGGUAGCACAGGAGAGCUUGCUCUCCGGGUGACGAGCGGCGGACGGGUGAGUAAUGUCUGGGAAACUGCCUGAUGGAGGGGGAUAACUACUGGAAACGGUAGCUAAUACCGCAUAACGUCGCAAGACCAAAGAGGGGGACCUUCGGGCCUCUUGCCAUCAGAUGUGCCCAGAUGGGAUUAGCUAGUAGGUGGGGUAACAGCUCACCUAGGCGACGAUCCCUAGCUGGUCUGAGAGGAUGACCAGCCAGACUGGAACGUAGACACGGUCCAGACUCCUACGGGAGGCAGCAGUGGGGAAUAUUGCACAAUGGGAGCAAGCCUGAUUCAGCCAUGCCGCGUGUAUGAAGGAGGCCUUCGGGUUGUAAAGUACUUUCAGCGGGGAGGAAGGUGUUGUGGUUAAUAACCACAGCAAUUGACGUUACCCGCAGAAGAAGCACCGGCUAACUCCGUGCCAGCCGCCGCCGUAACAC
rnacentral:rRNA from 1 species